rnacentral:lncRNA from 1 species
CACAUGGAUUCUGGCUCUGGUAAUGGACAGGGAGCAGUCCCUGGAGACAGGGCCACACUUACCCUAAUGACAGUCUCCGGGGUCUUCAUCCAGCCUGAGCACCCUGCAUGGAGCCUGGCCUGAAGUGCUCCAGCUCAGAGGAGGAGGAGGGAGAGGGAUGGCUCAGGGGACUGAGCUGGGAAAAAAAAGGCCUCAGAAGGGAAAUGGAGGCCCAGAAAGCUUUGGUGAGCAGCUCGAGAUUACACAGGACAUGGAGACCAGAACUCAUGUUUCCUCAAAUAGUUCAUUUCCAGGGGGCUUUUAGGCUAUUACUUCUAUAAUCUGCCCUCUGUCUGCCUCAGGGACUCUCCCCUCCAACCCCCAUUUGGACCAUGAACUGAUGCCAAUGGCACCAAGGAAGCAUCAACUGAUACUGGGCAGAAGGGCAGGGCAGUGGCCCCUGGGAGUCUUCAUGGCUCCUCUGGCAGAAAGUACCUGGAGGCAUCAGCUCAUGGACCUGGAGCAUAUCAGCAAGGAACAGAGAUAAACUGUACUGCAUCACCACCCUGGCACUACUCAUGAGAAACUUUCCCAACCAUUAUGCUUCGUUGACUUGGCCGGGAAGGAGUUAACACACAACAUGUGAGGAGUACGCUGAGUAGGGAGCUGUGUUCUUGGGUGACCUGUGGGUAUCUGGGCCCAUUUAAUGCACCAAGUCUUCAAAUAGUGGCAGCCAUCACAGGCUCUCCUGUCUGCUUGUGCAUGCACACGGGGAUCCUUCACUUGGUGGCUUCUCCCCAAGCAAACAUUUUUAGCCCAUCCUGGUUUCUCCUCACUGCCCUCUCUACCCUGGGAAAUGCAACCCACAUUGUCCAAGUCAGACCUAAUUAGACCAGCAAAUCAGUGGCACUUAAGUCAUCACAGCACACUCCAAGCACAAGAGGAAAUGCUGUGUAGGUUAUCCUGUGCGCUGCUUGUUGUGUCUGUUUGUGUUUCCUUGGAUUAUACAUUCUCUGCUCCCUGCCUUCCAUUACCUCACUAAUGGAGAGGCAGGGUGCAGUCCUCCACAGACCAGCAUUCAUCUUCCCAGUCUGACCCUCUCGGAGGCUAUUACGCUGCUGUCGCAAGAUCGACGAGGGGAGAAAAAUGAAAACAGUGCACAGGAAACAAUGGAGGGCAAAUGGGACUCUUUUAGAACCGGAUCCACUGAUACGUCAGGCCAAGGAGAAAUGACCACAAGCUCUGAAAAGUGGAGAGCUCCCCCAGACAGCAAAGCCAGCUGCCCCGGCACCUCUGCACAGUCCUUUUCUGAAUCUGCCCCUCACCGUGCUCCCCACCUGCACCCCGUCCUCAGAACAGAUUGCCUUGCCUGACCUCCUGAGGCCGAUGGAGAUGGUGACGUGACCUCCUUUGCCCUCCAUCACUGUGCCUCCCACACCUCUGCGCAGCUCGUUCAUUCUCUCUCCCUCCACUCUGACUUAAGGGAA